rnacentral:ncRNA from 1 species
AUUAAACCGUUGAUCAAGAGGAGUAGAAAUAAUUUCUUGUAUUCAGAGAGUCGCUAGCUGGUGGGAAUGCGAUUACAAAGUUUAUUUCGAAUGGACUUGUGAGGGAAGCCCGAAAUCUAUAAAGCUAUGGAGAGUAGGCGCUUACGGGAACCCUGUCCGUUAUCAGUAGGGUGCAUAUGAUAGUAUGCAAAAUGAGUGGCUGUAUUUGUAAUACAGCAAAUUGGGUGGUACCGCAGAAGUUUAAGCUUUUGUCCCUUUA